rnacentral:rRNA from 1 species
AAGUCGAACGGUAACAGGAAGCAGCUUGCUGCUUUGCUGACGAGUGGCGGACGGGUGAGUAAUGUCUGGGAAACUGCCUGAUGGAGGGGGAUAACUACUGGAAACGGUGGCUAAUACCGCAUAACGUCGCAAGACCAAAGAGGGGGACCUUCGGGCCUCUUGCCAUCAGAUGUGCCCAGAUGGGAUUAGCUUGUUGGUGAGGUAACGGCUCACCAAGGCGACGAUCCCUAGCUGGUCUGAGAGGAUGACCAGCCACACUGGAACUGAGACACGGUCCAGACUCCUACGGGAGGCAGCAGUGGGGAAUAUUGCACAAUGGGCGCAAGCCUGAUGCAGCCAUGCCGCGUGUAUGAAGAAGGCCUUCGGGUUGUAAAGUACUUUCAGCGGGGAGGAAGGUGUUGUGGUUAAUAACC